rnacentral:snRNA from 1 species
AGAAGAUUCAAAUCCAGAAACU